AUAACUUUAAAUAAAAUGUACAAUAUUUGAUAUGUGAGUCAUGACUCACGCAAUAUUAAUUAUAAUUUUUGAUGGGGGAGGUCCAUCUCGUUAGCUUGCUAUUGGGGACUUCAAGCAUCGGCUUGGUGUUGCACUACUGCCUUGGCUUGGCACACCCUAA
rnacentral:snRNA from 2 species